GUGAGGUAAUGGCUCACCAAGCCUACGACGGGUAGCCGGCCUGAGAGGGUGACCGGCCACACUGGAACUGAGACACGGUCCAGACUCCUACGGGAGGCAGCAGUGGGGAAUAUUGCACAAUGGGCGCAAGCCUGAUGCAGCAACGCCGCGUGAGGGACGACGGCCUUCGGGUUGUAAACCUCUUUUAGUAGGGAAGAAGCGAAAGUGACGGUACCUGCAGAAAAAGCACCGGCUAACUACGUGCCAGCAGCCGCGGUAAUACGUAGGGUGCAAGCGUUAUCCGGAAUUAUUGGGCGUAAAGAGCUCGUAGGCGGUUUGUCGCGUCUGCUGUGAAAACUGGGGGCUCAACCCCCAGCCUGCAGUGGGUACGGGCAGACUAGAGUGCGGUAGGGGAGAUUGGAAUUCCUGGUGUAGCGGUGGAAUGCGCAGAUAUCAGGAGGAACACCGAUGGCGAAGGCAGAUCUCUGGGCCGUAACUGACGCUGAGGAGCGAAAGCAUGGGGAGCGAACAGGAUUAGAUACCCUGGUAGUCCAUGCCGUAAACGUUGGGAACUAGAUGUAGGGGCCAUUCCACGGUUUCUGUGUCGCAGCUAACGCAUUAAGUUCCCCGCCUGGGGAGUACGGCCGCAAGGCUAAAACUCAAAGGAAUUGACGGGGGCCCGCACAAGCGGCGGAGCAUGCGGGAUUAAUUCGAUGCAACGCGAAGAACCUUACCAAGACUUGACAUAUACGAGAACGGGCUAGAAAUAGUUCACUCUUUGGACACUCGUAAAACAGGUGGUUGCAUGGGUUGUCGUCAGCUCGUGUCGUGAAGAUGUUUGGGGUUAAGUCCCGCAACGAGCGCAACCCUCGUUCUUUGUUGCCAGCACGUAAUGGUGGGAACUCAAAGGAGACUGCCGGG
rnacentral:rRNA from 1 species